rnacentral:tRNA from 1 species
GCCCGGGUGGUCUAGUGGUAUGAUUCGCGCUUAGUACGUUAUCCUUGAAUCAACCAAUCAACACCCAACAAAUCACUAACAGCUUCUUCAGGGGUUCACCCAAAGCAUUGACUGCGCGAGGUCCCCGGUUCGAUCCCGGGCUCGGGCC